rnacentral:tRNA from 1 species
GUCGGGGUGGCAGAUGAAAUGCGUUAGAUUUAAGCUUUAAGGAUGAGGUUUUACCCCUCUCCCGGUU